GCUCCGUCUCCCUCUGCCCCCAUUUCUCUUUCCAUCAUUUUGUUUUCUCUCUCCAUUUUCUCCAUCGUUUUCUAUCUCCGUCCUAGAUCUAGGGUUUUCUCUACCUGCUCAUGCUCCUUGAGAGAUUCACUAGGGUUCAGAUCUAAUUCUAAAUCCAUCGAUUCUUGCACCGAUUUUGUUGAAAUUUCUUGAUGGUUUUUUGGUUUUCUUGAUUCUGAUUCUGAUGAUUUUGUAGAGGAAGAUGGUUCGGUUGAGUAGCACAAAUCGGCGGGGUUACGAGACCGAGGAAUGAAGAAGGAUCAAGAUCAUCGUGAUUGAGACCAAUCCAAUCGGAGCAAAAGGAAACCAACCGAUGAAAUGAUAGGCUUUUCUGUUCCAAGAAAAGCUCAAGCGCUAUGGCAUUGGAUGCGCUCUACCUGUUGAAGCUCCUCCUCAGGUUGGCAAGGGGAAUGCAGAACUGGCUCUGUCUCUGGUUGGAUACGAUCAGGAACUGAAGGUAUAAUUCAAUUGUGUGUGCUGGAAUGUUUCUUAAUGUUAUAUCAUUAGUGCUAUGGAAUGUGUAUUUGGUUCAACAUUUGUUUGCAAAACCAUUGAUGCAGAGAGGGAGGUAAGUCUUUUUCAGUAAUCCUUUUUCC